CCACCAUACAAUGCAUCCAAUCUUCAAAAUCAUCAACGUUGCUUCACAGUCACACCUCCUUCACUAUCACACCCAAAUUACAUUCACAAUCCUUCCAAAACUCUCAAAACUACCAGAUGUAACCUAAAACUAGGUAUUUCAGCCACUACUUUCCGGAUCGGCAAAUACGGCUGCCAAACGAUACCGUCGACAUUUACCCGCAGUCCCAUGUCGCCGGUUUCGUCAGCAUCGCUUUCCAAUUUAUGCCCUAACUCACUGCUAGAAGGCCCGAUCAAGCCUUGGAACAACCAUCAUCACUUGAUUCUGUGUACGUUUUGUGUUUCUUUGCUGGUUGCUGCCCAUCAAUUGUGCAAUUCAGGGGUUGAUUUGUGUAAAAAGUUGUUCUCUUACUGUUUGUAAUGAUGGUGAUAAAGUGGCCAAAAGCAAUCCUCCCACUCCCAAAACACCAUGAUAAACCUCUAAGAUCUGAAAUCUGGAGAUUCUAGAGAGUGGAAGAGUAACACGCAAGAGAGAGAGAUGGGAGUGAGGGAAGUGUCACCGGCCGGAAUUCAUAUUCCGAUGACGAAGAUGGCGAGGGUAGAUGAUGCUAACAAUGUUACGCUUACUGGAGAAGACGAUGUUCCGGCGAACCUGUUCUCAUCUCCAUGUUUCUCCUAAGUGACCCCCAAGGAUUAUUGUUUCUGUAUAUGCAACUGGCAAGUGGCACCAAAUGGAGAAGAUGCUUUGACAAUAUUUGUGGCUCUUGAUAACUUUGAUUAUGAGCAAAGUAAAAAGGAUGACAGAUCUGUAUUAACUACUGUUGCACAAAGGAGAAGGCAAAAUGCAAUUUCGGUGGGCAAAGAAAGAAGAGAAGCUAUAUAUUUGAACCAAACACUAAUGAACAGGAAGUUGCUUGAGGUGGUUUGGUGUCUUAUAAAUAUAGCUGCUGGAAAACCUAAAGAAACGACAUUGUGGCCUGCACUACCCUUAGUCAUUGCUCAUAUCGGAGUUUAGUCAUCAAAUAACACUUGCACAUGGUUUUUUUUAGCAUUUAUACUUAUAUACAUACAAAUAUAAGCAUUAUAAUAUGUGUUUAUUAAGUGUUGAAUCAUAUGCAAAAUGGCAAUUGCAGGUGCUGAAGUUUAUCAUUUUACACUAAAGUAGUUGUAUGAUUGUCUGAUUGUAUGAGUAACCUAAAAAAUUAGAUGUAGGUGUUAUGUGUAAUCUGUAUUGUGGAUUUUAGAUAGAACUAGAUUUCGGGGUUAUAGUAUAUAUGAAAGGAAAUAAUGGUUGCGGCUUUUGCAAGAAUGACCGUUGCAGAUUCAAAAGGGUAACUUGCUCCCGAAUAUUAGUCUUAGGUUGUUUUCUCACAGAGACAGAAGUUGGUGUUUUAUUUGUUUAUCCUGGUUAUUUUUUCUCUUCAUGCUCAAUCUAUUUAUGGACUGAUUGUGUUGUUUUGUUUUUCAGUUGACCUAUACCUUAAUGAUCAUCUAUAUCUAUAUCUGGAGUCUUGACUGCAGUCACUUUAAAUUGCAUACAUUUUAUUGCUUAUCUAUAAGCAAGGGAACAAGGAACAACUGGUGUGUUGUUUACAUGAGGCUUCAUUCUUUGUUUUUUCAAAAGCUAUUUUGUAAAAUGGAUCUAAUAAAUUAAUUUAGAAAAAUAAAGCUCUCUAAUAAACUAAUUUAGUA